rnacentral:lncRNA from 1 species
GAUCAACUCCAUCUCUGUCUGGAUCAUCUGAUACCACUUGUCCAUGGUUAUCAGGCUCUGAUAUCAAUUGUUGUGCUCUAAUACCACUUAUUGAAAGAGAAAGAAAGAAGAAAGAGAGAGAAAUAUAUCAUAAAUAAAUCAAGAUAAUACGGAUUGACCUCAGGCCUAUCUCUACAGAGCGUGCAAGCUUCACUAUGAGAGGAAAAAAUC